GACGAACGCUGGCGGCGUGCUUAACACAUGCAAGUCGAACGGAAAGGCCUGCUUUCCCUUGUGGAUUGCGGGUACUCGAGUGGCGAACGGGUGAGUAACACGUGAGUGAUCUGCCCCCAACUUGGGUAUAAGCCUGGGAAACUGGGUCUAAUUCCCGAUAGUACUGCAGGGUGGUGCCUGUGGUGGAAAACGAUUUUCUAGUGGUUGGGGAUGAGCUCGCGGCCUAUCAGCUUGUUGGUGGGGUAAUGGCCUACCAAGGCGGCGACGGGUAGCCGGCCUGGGAGGGUGGACGGCCACAUUGGGACUGAGAUACGGCCCAGACUCCUACGGGAGGCAGCAGUGGGGAAUAUUGCACGAGGGGCGGAAGCCUGAUGCAGCGACGCCGCGUGGGGGAUGACGGCCUUCGGGUUGUAAACUCCUUUCGACCGCGAGGAAGCCACCUGGUUGGAAGGGUGGUGACGGUAGUGGUAGAAGAAGCACCGGCUAACUACGUG
rnacentral:rRNA from 1 species